UACCUGGUUGACCCUGCUAGUAGUCAUGUUCUUUUCUCAAAGAUUAAGCUAUGCAUGUCUAAGUAUGAACUAAUUCAGACUGUGAAGUUGUGGAUGGCUCAUUAAAUCAGUUAUAGUUUCUUUGAUGCUACCCUACUACUCGAAUAACCAUAGAAAUUAUAGAGCUAAUACAUACACCAAGUCCUGAAUCUUUGGAGGGGAUGCAUUUAUUAGAUAAAGGCCAGUGUGGGCUUGCCCGCUUCUCCGAUGAAUCAUGAUAACUAGACGGAUCGCACAACCCUUGUGCUGGUGAUUCUUCAUUCAAAUUUCUUCCCUAUCAACUUUUGAUGGUAGGAUAGAAGCCUACCAUGGUGGUGAUGGGUCACGAAGAAUUAGGGUUCGAUUCUGGAGAGGGAGCCUGAGAAAUGGCUACCACAUCCAAGGAAGGUAGCAUUCGCUCAAUUUACCCAAUCUAAAUCCCUUGACGAGAUCCAUUAGAGGGCAAGUCUGGUGCCAACAACCAUGAUAAUUCUAGCUCCAAUAGUGUAUAUUUAAGUUGUUGUAGUUAAAAAUAUCAUAGUUGGAUCUUGGGUCGUAAAGGUCGGUCUGCCUACUUGGUGUGCACUUUCCCUGCCAUCCCUUUUUCCAGUGGCAUGCUCCUGGCCUUAAUUGGCUGGGUCACGGUUCUAGCAUUGUUACUUUGAAAACAUUAGAGUGCUCAAAGCAAGAUUAUUCUCUGAAUACAUUAGAAUGGAAUAAUGCGAUAGGAGUAUGGUCCUAUUGUCUUGGCCUUCAGGACUAGAGUAAUGAUUAAUAGGGACUUUCGGGGGAAUUUUGUAUUUCAUUGGCAGUUGUAACAAGGUUACCAUAGGUGAACCUGCGGUAGGAUCAUUG
rnacentral:ncRNA from 1 species